rnacentral:rRNA from 1 species
ACGGGAGGCAGCAGUGGGGGAUAUUGUACAAUGGGGGAAACCCUGAUGCAGCGACGCCGCGUGAGUGAAGAAGUAUUUCGGUAUGUAAAGCUCUAUCAGCAGGGAAGAAAAUGACGGUACCUGACUAAGAAGCUCCGGCUAAAUACGUGCCAGCAGCCGCGGUAAUACGGAUGGAGCAAGCGUUAUCCGGAUUUACUGGGUGUAAAGGGAGCGUAGACGGCGUGGCAAGUCUGAUGUUAAAGCUAUGGGCUCAACCCAUAAACUGCAUUGGAAACUGUCAUGCUAGAGUGUCGGAGAGGUAAGCGGAAUUCCUAGUGUAGCGGUGAAAUGCGUAGAUAUUAGGAGGAACACCAGUGGCGAAGGCGGCUUACUGGACGAUAACUGACGUUGAGGCUCGAAAGCGUGGGGAGCAAACAGGAUUAGAUACCCUGGUA